GUCCAGAUAGCUCAGUUGGUAGAGCAGAGGACUGAAAAUCCUCGUGUCGCUGGUUCGAUUCCGGCUCUGGGCA
rnacentral:tRNA from 4 species